UACGUAGGGUGCGAGCGUUGUCCGGAAUUAUUGGGCGUAAAGGGCUCGUAGGCGGUUUGUCGCGUCGGGAGUGAAAACUCAGGGCUUAACUCCGAAACUGCAUUCGAUACUGCGGUGCUUGAGGACUGGAGAGGAGACUGGAAUUCAUGGUGUAGCAGUGAAAUGCGUAGAGAUCAUGAGGAAGACCAGUGGCGAAGGCGGGUCUCUGGACAGUUCCUGACGCUGAGGCACGAAGGUCAGGGGAGCAAACGGG
rnacentral:rRNA from 1 species